UUAGAAAUUUCUUCUCGGGGUUCUCAACUUAUUGCUACAGGAAUGAGCCCCGCAAUGUGCGUGCUCAUCGCCGCAAAGGUCGCCCGGUGCAGUCGCCGGUGAGUAGGCUCAGAGACCGGUACGAAUAUUCUUUAGAAACAUCUAUUCAUUUUCUUAAAGUCUGUCGUAUUCCUUCUUUGCUACAUUAAUUUCUCUUGCGUGCAUCAAGUGGGAUACACUUGGAAAAAUAAAUAACCGGAAAGAGCGGAUGCCUUAAGUUAAAUUCCCUUUAAUUCAAUAGUAUUAGAAUCGUAUUCAAAAAUUGUGACAUCAAUUAUCAGUGAGAGUCUAAUGAAAAAAUAAGGGGACAAUUUUCAUCAUCUUCAGCCAAAGAAAAAGUUAUCUCCCAUUUCCAUUCAAUUUGCAAUUACAUAUUUACAUUGAUCCAUUUGGUAUCAUGAACAGAGUUUUGGCAAGGAUCUAACUUUGCCUGAAUUACAUAAUCUUCGUUUAGUUACAUUUGGCAUCUGGGGUUGCAUCACUGUGCAAAGCUUCUCCAGUUCUGCUACUCUACGCUGCCUUUGUUGCAAAUGCAUUCCAGUUUCUCUUGAAUGUUCAUGCUUUCUUUCAAAAGGAAGGACUGGCUCUUUAUUGUCUUCUCCACAGCUCAUAUUUUUAUUAGUAGAGCUGCAAAAUCGAAUUUCAUCUACCCUUUUGAGGGAGUACAAGUAAUUGCUAAUUGAGCUACUGUGCCUGGAUUGCUGACCUAUGAAAACUUGUAAUGAUGUACUUGAUGGAAACUUGGAGUUUUGAGCUAGGUGUUGUAAAGUUUCGGCUGAGAGUUUCUCAUGAUUCAGUCCACAACAUAACCUCAUCUUUUCCUCUUCACAUAAUUGAGUGUGAACCUCAAGAUAUAGGUCAACGGCUUGGUAGAGUCUGUCACUAGAUUCUCUUGCAGAAUCUGGAAGCACCGAUACUAAUGCUCCAAAUGCGGAAGGUUUCAGAAGAAAAUCUGGUGCUACUUCCACAAGGUACGAAUCCAUCAAGCUACCAACCUUUUUCAAUUGACUUGGGGUCAUCCAACCUUGACUGAGAUAUGCUUCUGCAAGCCUCAAAACCAAAUUCACGUCAUACAUAUAGUGCUUCCCAGGUGGAGAUGGAACAAGCAGAUGAUCCAAAGUUGCUUGAUCUAACUGUGAACUUAUCAGUCUCUCCAACUUGAUUUUGUAGCAUUUGCUUAUUCUUUUCAAACUUGAGACGAUUCGAAGAACAUCAAAUAAGCCCUUGCAAGAAAGACAGCUCCUAUCAAGUAACAAAAGGAGACUGAUUACCUUCUCCAUGAUUUGGCGCUUCUCAGCCAGUCCAGUGCUGAGAAGUCUUGCUUUCAGGUAAAAAAUGAGGAACUUAAAAAUGCUAGCGUGGUCUAAUUUCUGGGAUGCCAUCAUCCUUAUCACUUUGUCGAGCAAAAUGAUAUUCAAGAACAAGAGAUCUUCAAACCACCAACUUGCUGGGGAGCAGUUGUUUCUCGUACUACAAGUGCUGCUUAUGUCAGAGGAAAACUGACAACUGAAAUUCUCUGAGGAACAUCUGAAUGGGCUUGCAACAGUAGGCAAAGCAACCCUUCCUAUAAGGGAAUCUAAUACUUUAUCAAGGACAAAUGAAGAAUUUGCUGCAGGAAAUAAAUCUUGGCAUUGUUUUAGAGCCACUAGGAGCUCAGACCAAGUCCAAUGAUUAAUCCCCCUAAGAGAUUUUUCUGUUUGGUCUACUAAGUUGGUUGUUGCAGAGCUAUUACUGCCCAUUUCCAUGAAAUAAGCAGCACAGUUCAGUAGGACUGUAUUUGAGGGAAUUAUCUCAAUUGCGCCAUUAUUGUAGCAAAACCUUGCCACGAGCUCAAAACCACUGGCACCUCCAGGAAAGUCUUGAAAUACCACUUUUAGUAGUCUUGCGCGAUCCGUGAAUUUACCGAAUAAUUUCCUGAAUCUUCCUGAGAAACAUGCGAGGACUUUCUUGUCCACCACGAAAAUCUCAUCGCCAUUGACCUCUACUUCAAGCUCACAGCCAACUUCCAUUUGUUCAAAUCCAAAGUUCAUGCAACUGAAAAGGUUCUUUUGCCUUUAAAUCUGCUGUUGCUUGGUCAAUGUGUACAGAGAGAAGAGGCAGUGUUUUUAAAUACUUUAUCAACAGGAGAUAGCAGACAAUUUCAAGGAAAUGGGAACUGAAAUAUAGAACUAAGACAUUCAUGGGAAAAGCUUUUUCAACAGUCAAAUACAUAAAAUAAUGUUUGAAAGAAAAAGCUGUGUAAAGACUCUCAUUAAAUGCAAACUGAAAAACGAUGGGAGCUGUAAUGAACGAUUCUUGGGACAUUUCUCUUUCUU
rnacentral:misc_RNA from 1 species